GACAGAGGGUGCAAACGUUGUUCGGAAUUACUGGGCGUAAAGCGUGUGUAGGCGGUCCACUAAGUCGGGUGUGAAAGCCCUGGGCUCAACCCAGGAAGUGCACUCGAAACUGGCGGGCUAGAGUAUCGGAGAGGUUGGUGGAAUUCUCGGUGUAGAGGUGAAAUUCGUAGAUAUCGAGAGGAACACCGGUGGCGAAGGCGGCCGACUGGACGAAUACUGACGCUGAGACACGAAAGCGUGGGGAGCAAACAGG
rnacentral:rRNA from 1 species